rnacentral:misc_RNA from 1 species
CCAAAACUUAGCUGCUCCAGUUCAGGCUGGUUGCACGCUUCAACCCUUUGUGAACCAAAAACCUUACGCUUCGGCAGCUGGUUCCAGCUGUAAGCCUGCGAUGGCACCCAUUUAAACCUGUCGUUAAAUAUCUUGUCUGAACUAAAUAUUUUCGAAUGAAAAUUA